AUUGAACGCUGGCGGCAGGCCUAACACAUGCAAGUCGAGCGAGCGGCGGACGGGUGAGUAAUGUAUGGGGAUCUGGCUGAUGGCGGGGGAUAACUACUGGAAACUGUAGCUAAUACCGCGUACCAUACGAUGAGCCCAUGUGGGAUUAGGUAGUGGGUGAGGUAAAGGCUUACCUAGGCGACGAUCCCUAGCUGGUCUGAGAGGAUGAUCAGCCACACUGGGACUGAGACACGGCCCAGACUCCUACGGGAGGCAGCAGUGGGGAAUAUUGCACAAUGGGGGCAAGCCUGAUGCAGCCAUGCCGCGUGUAUGAAGAAGGCCUUCGGGUUGUAAAGUACUUUCAGUAGGGUGGCGUUACCGACAGAAGAAGCACCGGCUAACUCCGUGCCAGCAGCCGCGGUAAUUA
rnacentral:rRNA from 1 species